UAGCAAGUUCCUCCCAAGAUAGCUUCUUUCGGCUGGUUGGUUUGUAAGAAAAAGGUAUUCACAGUGGACAACUUGAGGAAAAGGGAAAUGUACGUUACAAAUAUUUGUAUGUGUUACAUGGAACAUGAAGCAACAGUGAACCACCUAUUUAUCCAUUGCCCCUUCACAUAUCAGAUAUGGACUGAUAUUCUGCAUCGUUUCAACAUUCAGUUUGUCCUUUCCUCAAUCUUUAAGGGAGUUGCAGCAGCAUUGGCAUAGUAUUUGUUUUGGUAAUUAUAGGUCAAAGCUGUGGAAAAUGUCCUUAUUGACAGUUAGGUGGACUGUUUGGGAAGAAAGAAAUGGGAGGUGUUUUAUUGACGUGGACUGUGUGGGAAGAGAGAAAUGGGAGGUGCUUUAAUGACAUGUCGAAAUCCUUAGAGGACACUGUGAACAGGGUGAUCUUCUUCAUUGUGGAGUGGGCCGGUGCUGUGGACAAAUUGAAAAACUGUAAUUUCCUUUUUCUAGGUAAGUAGCUGAGGGGCUACCUCAGCUCCUCAGUUAUAUCUUUUUGUCUGUUUUUGUUUUUUCCUCUUUUAUAUACAUAUCUGUUACUUCUCAAAAAAAAAUUUCUAAUCAAUUCAUCCACUGUGGCCCACAGAAUUCUGAAUUCAUCCCUCUGCCUUACAUCGGAUGAACGGAUUGGAUGGCACAUACAGAGCACCGUAGACCCCACAGAGAAUCUGGAAGUUUUGUAUGAUUUUUUGGUUUCUGGAAUUAUCAAGGAAGGCCACGUCUGAUGGAUGGUCUAGAUGAAAUAGAAACGUCACGGUGGGCCUUACAAAGCUCGAAAGUAUGAGCACCCAUCCAUAACGGAUCCUUCUCAACUCACAGAUAAGGUUAUUUUAGUCAUUUGGCAUACUAACGGUUUUAAAGCUGCGAGACAGAAGCCAUUGUGUUCCUCCUAUGAGGUAACUUUCUUUAAUGUGGGGAAAACUAAUUAACUUGCGUAAAAUCCACCCCGUCCAUCGUGUACAUCACCCCCUGCCUGGCCUUGAUGCGAAAUGUCAGGAAGAUUCAACACUCUGGUGGGCCACCCCAUAAAAUUAUACUUAUAAACCUUUAAAUUCACGUAAUAUGGUCCACUUGAGCUUAGGAAUACUGGUAUUUUGGUUAAUUCUUUCGGCUUCGAUGUGACCCAUUAGAUGAAAGGAUUUGGUGAUAUACAAACACCACGGUUGGCCCUGUACAAAACCAAUGGUGGAUUUCACAUCUCAACUUUUCCCGGGAGGCGGAUUCCCAUCUUUAAAAAAAAAAAAACGAACUUUUCCCGGGUACAUGGAGUUCAGCCAAGCCGUGACCGUGGUGGGCCCACUUGAUGUGUGUUGUAUAUCCACUCCGUUCAUCUGUUUUUCCAGAUCAUUUUAGGGCAUGGAAAUAAAAAUGAAGCGAAUACGAAUCUAAGGUGGACCACACCACUUGAAAUAGUGGCGACUGACCAUGAAAAAGUUUUAGAUCAAACUUACUAAUGUGAUCAGGGCGAUACUUUUGUUUUCGCUUUUUCAGGUCUGUGUGACCUUAUCAACUGGUUGGAUGGCAAAUAAACAUUACAGUGGGUCCUAGGAAGUUUUUAAUGGUGGCCGUUCAAUCACCACUGUUUUCGUGUGUUGUGGUCCACCUGAGAUUUUUAUCCGCCUCAUUUUUGGAACCAUAAUCUAAAAUGAUCUGGAAAAAAGGAUGGACGGCGUGGAUAAAUACAUCGAGGUUGCCCCACCGUCAGGGCCACCUGGCUGGAUCCGGGGUCGUACCUAACCCGCGUUCCGCCAGCGCAACUCUUAAAUCUCAUCGUAUUUACCUUCCUCUCUCAUCCACAACUCUAAAGUCCAACAGACGGAGAAGGGGAGAGAGGGAGAGAGAAGAUGAUCAUUCCUGUUCGUUGCUUCACAUGCGGGAAGGUGAUUGGUAACAAAUGGGACACGUAUCUUGAUCUUCUCCAAGCCGACUACACUGAAGGGCGAGUACCAUCUCUCUCUCUCUCUCUCUCUCUCUCUCUCUCUCUCUCACACACACACACACACACACACACACACACACACACACUCACACCAAGGUUUGAAAAUCGGUCUUGGUGCCCUGUAUCGGCCACCACCUUAGCUGGGUCGUGUUGUCCUGUAUCGGGCCAUUUCAGGCAUGUUUCGGGCCAAUACAGCUGUAUUGUCUACGGAAAAAACCAGUUCGUAUUGGUGUAUAUCGGGCCAUACGUACCAGUUCUGGAUGAAAGCCUAAACCCUGUUCAUGGACAACUAGUUGCUGGAAAAUGUUUUUGUCUAACUAGUGCUUGAUUGCUUACUUGUUAUGUGGAUGGCAUCCCACCUGUCCAACAGGCUGGCCCCACCGGGCAGAUAAAUGAGCACAGA